rnacentral:tRNA from 1 species
GCCUGGGUGGCUCAGUCGGUUGAGCAUCUGGCUCUUGAUUUAGGCUCAGGUCAUGAUCUCACAGUUCGUGGGAUCGAGCCCCACGUCAGGCU